rnacentral:rRNA from 1 species
GCUUACGGCCAUACCAGCCUGGGUACGCCCGAUCUCGUCUGAUCUCGGAAGCUAAGCAGGGUCGGGCCUGGUUAGUACUUGGAUGGGAGACCGCCUGGGAAUAUCUGGUGCUGUAAGCA